UAGGGAAUUUUCCGCAAUGGGCGCAAGCCUGACGGAGCAACGCCGCGUGAGUGAAGACGGCCUUCGGGUUGUAAAGCUCUGUUCUUUGGGAAGAACAAAAUGACGGUACCAAAGGAGAAAGCCCCGGCUAACUACGUGCCAGCAGCCGCGGUAAUACGUAGGGGGCAAGCGUUGUCCGGAAUUAUUGGGCGUAAAGCGCGCGCAGGCGGUUAGAUAAGUCAGGUGUGAAAGGCUACAGCUCAACUGUAGAGCUGCACCUGAAACUGUUUAACUUGAGUGCAGGAGAGGGGAGUGGAAUUCCCGGUGUAGCGGUGGAAUGCGUAGAUAUCGGGAGGAACACCAGUGGCGAAGGCGACUCUCUGGCCUGUAACUGACGCUGAGGCGCGAAAGCGUGGGGAGCAAACAGG
rnacentral:rRNA from 1 species